GGGGGGGAAACCUACGACCAGUGCAACAGAGAGCAAACCGCCGAUGGCCCACGCAAGUGGGAUCAGGUAAGGGUGAAAGGGUGCGGUAAGAGCGCACCGCGCGGCUGGUAACAGUCCGUGGCACGGUAAACUCCACCCGGAGCAAGGCCAAAUAGGGGUUCAUAAGGUACGGCCCGUACUGAACCCGGGUAGGCUGCUUGAGCCAGUGAGCGAUUGCUGGCCUAGAUGAAUGACUGUCCACGACAGAACCCGGCUUAUCGGUCAGUUUCACCU
rnacentral:RNase_P_RNA from 1 species